AGUGAACGCUGGCGGUAGGCCUAACACAUGCAAGUCGAACGGCAGCACAGGAGAGCUUGCUCUCUGGGUGGCGAGUGGCGGACGGGUGAGGAAUACAUCGGAAUCUACUCUGUCGUGGGGGAUGACGUAGGGAAACUUACGCUAAUACCGCAUACGACCUACGGGUGAAAGCAGGGGACCUUCGGGCCUUGCGCGAUUGAAUGAGCCGAUGUCGGAUUAGCUAGUUGGCGGGGUAAAGGCCCACCAAGGCGACGAUCCGUAGCUGGUCUGAGAGGAUGAUCAGCCACACUGGAACUGAGACACGGUCCAGACUCCUACGGGAGGCAGCAGUGGGGAAUAUUGGACAAUGGGCGCAAGCCUGAUCCAGCCAUACCGCGUGGGUGAAGAAGGCCUUCGGGUUGUAAAGCCCUUUUGUUGAGAAAGAAAUCCAGCUGGCUAAUACCCGGUUGGGAUGACGGUACCCAAAGAAUAAGCACCGGCUAACUUCGUGCCAGCCGCCGCGGUAA
rnacentral:rRNA from 1 species